AGCGCGCCCCGACUUGAGUGGAGCUCUUUUUUGUGAUUGCGAUUUUGGGAAGAUUUCAACUGAUUAACAAAUGUUCGUCGCAAUCACAAAAAAAGCGGGAACGGAAGGCGGAAAUAGGC
rnacentral:sRNA from 1 species